UACGAAGGGGGCUAGCGUUGUUCGGAAUUACUGGGCGUAAAGAGCGCAAAGGCGGUUUGCUAAGUCAGGUGUGAAAGCCCGAGGCUCAACCUCGGAACUGCACCUGAAACUGGUUUACUAGAGUUUGAUAGGGGGUAGUGGAAUUCCUAGUGUAGGGGUGAAAUCCGUAGAUAUUAGGAGGAACACCAAUGGCGAAGGCAACUAUCUGGAUCAAUACUGACGCUGCAGUGCGAAAGCGUGGGGAGCAAACGGG
rnacentral:rRNA from 1 species